rnacentral:rRNA from 1 species
CCUACGGGUGGCAGCAGUGGGGAAUAUUGCGCAAUGGGCGAAAGCCUGACGCAGCGACGCCGCGUGAGGGAUGAAGGUCCUCGGAUCGUAAACCUCCGUCUGCAGGGAAGCAAGGUCACUGUGCUAAUCAGCAGUGAAUUGACGGUACCUGCAAAGGAAGCACCGGCUAACUCCGUGCCAGCAGCCGCGGUAAUACGGAGGGUGCGAGCGUUAAUCGGAAUUACUGGGCGUAAAGCGAUCGUAGGCGGUAUGUCAAGUCAAGGGUGAAAUCCCCGCGCUCAACGUGGGAACUGCCUUUGAAACUGGCAAACGGGAGUGUGUGAGAGGAUGGUGGAAUUCCAGGUGUAGGAGUGAAA